CAGAGAAUCGGCCGUUUGCUCAUUGCAGCAUGCGAAUUGACGCUGGGAGAUCCGAGUUUUUUUCAUGUUUAGCAGCUACUAAUCGGAAAAAAGGAUCGUUAAUUCAUUCAAUUGCACAUUUCCAGCUCCAAUUUUGAUCGGAAAACAGUUUGAUUGCCGGAAUCGCAGGAGAUUAGUGGCUGGCCAUGUAGCAUCAUUUUCCAUCAGAUGUGAUUUUCACGGCAUUUUUGUUUCGAAUUCAGUAAAGCAGCGGUUCGGAUGCAUGAUUCAGAUCAGAUCCGUUCGAUUAGUUUGAAGCGUUUGUGAGUAAUUGGUUGCUGGAUUACGAUCUUCGUUAGUUUUUGAUCGCGAAAAAUGGCGUCACCUGACAAGCAGGGCGCUUUGGAUUACAUCAAUCAGAUGUUCCCCACUGAGGCCUCUCUAUCUGGUGUUGAGCCCCUUAUGCAGAAAAUACACAGUGAAAUCCGGAGAGUGGAUGCCGAGAUUUUGUCUGCUGUUCGUCAGCAGAGUAAUUCAGGGAGCAAGGCCAAGGAGGACCUUGCAGCAGCUACUCGUGCUGUUCAGGAACUCUUGUACAAAAUGCAAGAAAUAAAAACUAAAGCAGAGCAAAGUGAAACAAUGGUUCAGGAAAUAUGCCGUGACAUCAAGAAACUGGAUUUUGCAAAGAAGCAUAUAACUACUACGAUUACUGCCCUUCAUCGUCUUACUAUGCUAGUAUCUGCUGUAGAACAACUUCAAGCUAUGGCUUCUAAAAGACAAUACAAGGAGGCAGCUGCACAGCUUGAGGCUGUCAACCAGUUAUGCAGUCAUUUUGAGGCUUAUAGAGAUUUUCAGAAGAUUGCGGAGCUACGAGAGAAGUUCAAGAGUAUCAAACAAAUUUUGAAGUCUCAUGUGUUCUCAGAUUUCUCUAGCUUAGGUACAGGAAAAGAGACAGAGGAAUCUUAUUUACUGCAGCAACUAUCUGACGCAUGCCUAGUUGUUGAUGCCCUUGAACCAUCAGUUAGGGAAGAGUUAGUAAAGAACUUCUGUAGUAGAGAGCUUACUUCAUAUCAGCAAAUUUUUGAGGGAGCAGAAUUGGCGAAGUUGGAUAAAACAGAAAGACGAUAUGCUUGGAUCAAGCGCCGCCUAAGAACCAAUGAGGAGAUUUGGAAACUUUUCCCCUUGUCAUGGCAUGUCCCUUAUCUGCUUUGCAUCCAGUUCUGCAAGUUGACGAGGACACAAUUGGUGGACAUCCUCGAUAAUCUCAAAGAAAAACCAGAUGUUGGAACAUUGUUGCUGGCUUUACAACGGACUUUGGAGUUUGAGGAAGAAUUAGCAGAGAAAUUCGGUGAUGGAAGUCGCAGCAAAGAAUUAGGAAGUGACACUGGGGAAGAUACAGCUGAGAGUAGCAGUCAGAAUAUUUCAGACAUUCGAAAGAAGUAUGAGAAAAGGCUUGCAGCACAUCAUGGAAAUGAGAAUGAGGAUCAAGAUGGCCACAAAGAUCUGUCUGUGCCUGAUGCUGGGUUCAAUUUUAGAGGGAUCAUUUCAUCGUGCUUUGAACCUUACUUGGCGGUCUAUGUUGAACUGGAGGAAAGAACUCUUAUGGAGCAUUUGGAGAAACUUGUCCAGGAAGAAACAUGGGAAACUGAAGAGGGAAGUCAAACUAAUAUUUUAUCUAGCAGUAUGCAGGUGUUUUUGAUCAUCAGAAGGACGUUAAAGAGAUGCAGUGCUCUGACAAAAAAGCAGACAUUGUUUAAUUUAUUCAAGGUAUUCCAAAGAAUUCUUAAAGCAUAUGCUACAAAGCUUUUCUUAAGAUUGCCAAAGGGUGGCACCGGACAUGUAGCUACAAAGACAUCUGACAAGGAUGAACGCUUGAUCUGCUAUAUAGUCAAUACAGCUGAAUAUUGUCACAAGACGUCAGGUGAAUUAGCUGAAAAUGUAUCCAAAAUAGUUGAUCCUCAAUAUGCUGAUAGCAUCGACAUGUCUGAAGUACAGGAUGAGUUCUCAGCAGUCAUAACAAAAGCGCUGAUAACUCUUGUGCAUGGUAUAGAAACAAAGUUCGACUAUGAAAUGGCUGCAAUGACACGUGUUCCUUGGGGCACACUUGAAAGUGUUGGUGACCAAUCGGAAUAUGUAAAUGGCAUAAAUACAAUUCUUACUUCAAGCAUUCCUGUACUUGGAAGGCUUCUUUCUCCUAUAUAUUUCCAGUUCUUCCUCGAUAAGCUUGCAUCAUCUCUUGGUCCGCGCUUCUAUCUCAACAUCUUCAAAUGCAAGCAAAUCUCCGAAACAGGAGCACAACAAAUGCUGCUGGAUACACAAGCUGUCAAAACAAUCCUUCUGGAAAUUCCUUCCCGUGGAAAACAGGUAUCUGCUGCUGGCGGCUACUCAAAAUUUGUAAGCCGUGAAAUGAGCAAAGCUGAAGCACUGCUGAAAGUCAUAUUGUCCCCUAUCGACUCUGUGGCUGAUACAUAUUGUGCUCUACUGCCCGAGGGUACUCCUUCAGAGUUCCAGCGAAUUCUGGAUCUUAAGGGCCUCAAACGGACUGACCAGCAAAGCAUACUAGAUGAUUACAAGAAGCGUGGGGCAGGGACGUAUCAACAAUCCAUCAAGGCAGCCGUUGUUCCAUCUGCACCUAGCUCUACGGUGGCACCUAUUCUACCUACACCUGCUGGAAUCAUUCCACUGAAGGAAGAGUUGGCAAGGGCUGCUGCACUAGGGAGAGGUGCUGCCACAACUGGAAUCCGCAGAAUCCUUGCAUUAACCGAGUCAACUACCAAAGAUCGCAAAGAUGGACCUCUGAGAAAACUUUUCAUUGGAUGACCGGAUACAGAAUUCGCCCUACUCUGGUUAGGAUUCGUCCCUUUUUCUCGAGUAUUAAUGACAUUAAUCAGGGUGAUUAGGUCUUAACUACAGUAUUAAAUUGAUUGGUUUGCAGUUUUAUUAUUACAUGAAUAAGGCUCGGGCCUGAAGUCGUUUCGAGAGCCCGUUAAAAAUUUGACUUGGAGCAUCUGCAACAGCACCCUUCCCGAUGGGUUUUCCCGUCCUACCGGGACGGGUGGUCGACAGGUUGCCGUUGCAGGCACCUCGUCCCGCCGAGGAGCCCUCCAUUUCGGACUGAGCUCGUUCUGAUGGGACAUGCACCCGUCCACAUGGCGCAUUCUAAGUCAUACAUUUUUCAAGAGUAGGUCACAUUUGGAACUCCCUCGGUUUGUUUACCACUAUUUAGUUACAAUUAACCCUAAAAGUGAUACUCAUACUUUGAAAGUGGAAUA